UACAUGCGCCCAGGGCAUUGGAAGGAGAACUUGACAUCGGCCAUGCUGAUUCGGGCAGUCAUGUCCUCAUCAAUCUGAGGAAGAGAAGAUAGAUAUGUGGAAGGAGGACUGAUUCUCAUUCAUGCCAGCAACUUCCAAAGCUAUCUAAUUAAGACCUUCCCCUGAGCUUCAAACCCAACCAACCACCACCUGAAAUCCCAACAAAACCAUAUGAUUCAUUGUCUUCAUCAUCUCCCAUGAGCCUUUCUCUCAUUAAAUGGUACCAUUCUUCA